GGAAGGAUCAUUAUUGAAAUAGCAUGACGAGUUGUCGCUGGCCCUUCUUUGACCGUGCACGCUCUGUCGUCCUUCAUUUCUCCAUCUAUUUGUGCACCUCUUGUGUAGACCUUUUCUGAGGGCUUCCUCAGGUCCUUGGGACUGCUUGCAAAAAUGAAUUUUGUGGGCUUUCCUUGUCACUACCACACCACACAUAUACACCAGUGUAGAAGGAAAUGGAAUUUGAUGCAUAAUAUACAACUUUCAGCAACGGAUCUCUUGGCUCUCGCAUCGAUGAAGAACGCAGCGAAAUGCGAUAAGUAAUGUGAAUUGCAGAAUUCAGUGAAUCAUCGAAUCUUUGAACGCAUCUUGCGCUCCUUGGUUAAUCCAAGGAGCAUGCCUGUUUGAGUGUCAUUAAUGUCUCAACCACGCCGUGAGGUCGUGGCUUGGAUUUGGGGGUUACAGGCUCUGAACUUGUGGUCUGCUCCCCUGAAAUACAUGAGCGGUGAACAACCCUCUCCGUCGAGAUGUGAUACAUAUCUGCAUCCAGUUGAGGGUUUUGCUGCUGC
rnacentral:misc_RNA from 1 species